GCAUGGUGCAGGGGUAAAAACUCCGGUGGUAUGAGAUGGACCCGCGUCUGAUUAGGUAGUUGGUGGGGUAACGGCCUACCAAGCCGACGAUCAGUAGCCGACCUGAGAGGGUGACCGGCCACAUUGGGACUGAGACACGGCCCAAACUCCUACGGGAGGCAGCAGUGGGGAAUAUUGCACAAUGGGGGAAACCCUGAUGCAGCGACGCCGCGUGAGCGAUGAAGUAUUUCGGUAUGUAAAGCUCUAUCAGCAGGGAAGAAAAUGACGGUACCUGACUAAGAAGCACCGGCUAAAUACGUGCCAGCAGCCGCGGUAAUACGUAUGGUGCAAGCGUUAUCCGGAUUUACUGGGUGUAAAGGGAGCGUAGACGGAGUGGCAAGUCUGAUGUGAAAACCCGGGGCUCAACCCCGGGACUGCAUUGGAAACUGUCAAUCUAGAGUACCGGAGAGGUAAGCGGAAUUCCUAGUGUAGCGGUGAAAUGCGUAGAUAUUAGGAGGAACACCAGUGGCGAAGGCGGCUUACUGGACGGUAACUGACGUUGAGGCUCGAAAGCGUGGGGAGCAAACAGGAUUAGAUACCCUGGUAGUCCACGCCGUAAACGAUGACUACUAGGUGUUGGGCAGCAAAGCUGUUCGGUG
rnacentral:rRNA from 1 species